rnacentral:lncRNA from 1 species
GUUGAUAAGUUGAUAUAGCACCAUGACAUUACAAAGACAUACAACUAAACCAUUAACAUUAACACACAAUACAGGAAACUUACAUAUAAAAGACAGUCUAAAACUUACUAAUCAAUAUGAUAGUAUCUUUUGGGAAAAGGCAAGCCUGGUAAAGAAAUAUCCGUUUCAGCAGAUCAUAUACAGAAAUAUACCAAUUCGCAGUAUGAAGUCUGUUGUAAAUCAUGUGCGACACACCAUUUCCAAGCAUCCAGUAAAGCUGUUGGUUAAUUAUCGUUGAUAAUGUUAGUGUGGUUCAAGUCAUUAUCGAAUAUCAGGAUUUUAAAUUAUAGAUUAUACCAUAAGGUUGCUACAAAAAGAAUUAACGAAUGUAAGAAGGAUAUUGAAAAUUCCACCACUACUACGACACUGGUGUAGAGAGCGUUAAUUAAUGAUUUAACUAUUAAAUGGGAGGAAGCUAAACUGUUAUAAAAACAAGAAGAUCCUAAGAAAGGAAGAAUAGCGGAGACAUUUACAAUUUUUAACAGUAAAAAUUCCACACCAAGACCUAUUAACAAAGUCGACCCUGCUCUUAUUAAUAAUGCCUGAAAAGCUUGUUUAAGAAAGACCCG